rnacentral:rRNA from 1 species
GGUUAAGCGACUAAGCGUACACGGUGGAUGCCCUGGCAGUCAGAGGCGAUGAAGGACGUGCUAAUCUGCGAUAAGCGUCGGUAAGGUGAUAUGAACCGUUAUAACCGGCGAUUUCCGAAUGGGGAAACCCAGUGUGUUUCGACACACUAUCAUUAACUGAAUCCAUAGGUUAAUGAGGCGAACCGGGGGAACUGAAACAUCUAAGUACCCCGAGGAAAAGAAAUCAACCGAGAUUCCCCCAGUAGCGGCGAGCGAACGGGGAGCAGCCCAGAGCCUGAAUCAGUGUGUGUGUUAGUGGAAGCGUCUGGAAAGGCGCGCGAUACAGGGUGACAGCCCCGUACACAAAAAUGCACAUGCUGUGAGCUCGAUGAGUAGGGCGGGACACGUGGUAUCCUGUCUGAAUAUGGGGGGACCAUCCUCCAAGGCUAAAUACUCCUGACUGACCGAUAGUGAACCAGUACCGUGAGGGAAAGGCGAAAAGAACCCCGGCGAGGGGAGUGAAAAAGAACCUGAAACCGUGUACGUACAAGCAGUGGGAGCACGCUUAGGCGUGUGACUGCGUACCUUUUGUAUAAUGGGUCAGCGACUUAUAUUCUGUAGCAAGGUUAACCGAAUAGGGGAGCCGAAGGGAAACCGAGUCUUAACUGGGCGUUAAGUUGCAGGGUAUAGACCCGAAACCCGGUGAUCUAGCCAUGGGCAGGUUGAAGGUUGGGUAACACUAACUGGAGGACCGAACCGACUAAUGUUGAAAAAUUAGCGGAUGACUUGUGGCUGGGGGUGAAAGGCCAAUCAAACCGGGAGAUAGCUGGUUCUCCCCGAAAGCUAUUUAGGUAGCGCCUCGUGAAUUCAUCUCCGGGGGUAGAGCACUGUUUCGGCAAGGGGGUCAUCCCGACUUACCAACCCGAUGCAAACUGCGAAUACCGGAGAAUGUUAUCACGGGAGACACACGGCGGGUGCUAACGUCCGUCGUGAAGAGGGAAACAACCCAGACCGCCAGCUAAGGUCCCAAAGUCAUGGUUAAGUGGGAAACGAUGUGGGAAGGCCCAGACAGCCAGGAUGUUGGCUUAGAAGCAGCCAUCAUUUAAAGAAAGCGUAAUAGCUCACUGGUCGAGUCGGCCUGCGCGGAAGAUGUAACGGGGCUAAACCAUGCACCGAAGCUGCGGCAGCGACGCUUAUGCGUUGUUGGGUAGGGGAGCGUUCUGUAAGCCUGUGAAGGUGUGCUGUGAGGCAUGCUGGAGGUAUCAGAAGUGCGAAUGCUGACAUAAGUAACGAUAAAGCGGGUGAAAAGCCCGCUCGCCGGAAGACCAAGGGUUCCUGUCCAACGUUAAUCGGGGCAGGGUGAGUCGACCCCUAAGGCGAGGCCGAAAGGCGUAGUCGAUGGGAAACAGGUUAAUAUUCCUGUACUUGGUGUUACUGCGAAGGGGGGACGGAGAAGGCUAUGUUGGCCGGGCGACGGUUGUCCCGGUUUAAGCGUGUAGGCUGGUUUUCCAGGCAAAUCCGGAAAAUCAAGGCUGAGGCGUGAUGACGAGGCACUACGGUGCUGAAGCAACAAAUGCCCUGCUUCCAGGAAAAGCCUCUAAGCAUCAGGUAACAUCAAAUCGUACCCCAAACCGACACAGGUGGUCAGGUAGAGAAUACCAAGGCGCUUGAGAGAACUCGGGUGAAGGAACUA